rnacentral:rRNA from 1 species
UUAUUCGAUCGCUCCAAUUAUGUUUAUGCUUAGGGAGGAGCUUGCGUCACAUUAGUUAGUUGGCAGGGUAAAGGCCUACCAAGACUAUGAUGUGUAGCUGGACUGAGAGGUUGAACAGCCACAUUGGGACUGAGACACGGCCCAAACUCCUACGGGAGGCAGCAGUAGGGAAUUUUCGGCAAUGGAGGAAACUCUGACCGAGCAACGCCGCGUGAACGAUGAAGUAUUUCGGUAUGUAAAGUUCUUUUAUUGAAGAAGAAAAAAUAGUGGAAAAACUAUCUUGACGAUAUUCAAUGAAUAAGCCCCGGCAAACUAUGUGCCAGCAGCCGCGGUAAUACAUAGGGGGCGAGCGUUAUCCGGAAUUAUUGGGCGUAAAGGGUGCGUAGGCGGUUUAAUAAGUCUAUAGUUUAAUUUCAGUGCUUAACACUGUCCUGCUAUAGAAACUAUUAGACUAGAGUGAGAUAGAGGCAAGUGGAAUUCCAUGUGUAGCGGUAAAAUGCGUAAAUAUAUGGAGGAACACCAGAGGCGUAGGCGGCUUGCUGGGUCUUUACUGACGCUGAGGCACGAAAGCGUGGGGAGCAAACAGGAUUAGAUACCCUGGUAGUCCACGCCGUAAACGAUGAGUACUAAGUGUCGGGAUUACUCGGUACUGAAGUUAACACAUUAAGUACUCCGCCUGAGUAGUACGUACGCAAGUAUGAAACUUAAAGGAAUUGACGGGACUCCGCACAAGCGGUGGAUCAUGUUGUUUAAUUCGAAGAUACACGAAAAGCAUGCCCAGG